GCUGGGCACAGUGGCAUACGCCUGUAAUCCCAGCUGCUCAGGAGGCUGAGGCAGGAGGAUGGUGAGUUAAAGCCUGCCUCAA
rnacentral:sRNA from 1 species